rnacentral:rRNA from 1 species
GACGUAGGGUGCAAGCGUUGUCCGGAUUUAUUGGGCGUAAAGCGCGUGUAGGCGGCAGUGCAAGUCGGGUGUGAAAGCCCUCGGCUCAACCGAGGAAGUGCGCUCGAAACUGCAUUGCUUGAGUACCGGAGAGGAUGGCGGAAUUCCCGAAGUAGAGGUGAAAUUCGUAGAUAUCGGGAGGAACACCGGUGGCGAAGGCGGCCAUCUGGACGGAUACUGACGCUGAGUGAGCGAAAGCCAGGGGAGCAAACGGG